rnacentral:snRNA from 1 species
CUUAUAGUUGGCCCAAUAGA